GUGCCCGGGCCGCUCCGUGCCCGCCGUGCCACCCCCAUGGGGGAUGACAUCGACUGGCUGGACCUGCCGGGCAGGUGGACCUACGGAGUCUGCGGGGACGGGCGGAUCUUCUUCAUCGACGACGACACCAAAUCCACCAGCUGGGUGCACCCCGGCACGGGCUACUCCAUCCAGAGCGGGCACUUCUCCUGCGCAGGGCUGCCCCGAGGCUGGGAGGUGGACACCACGAUGCACGGGGGCCUCUACUU